CCGGCUUCGGGGGUCUUGGAUUCGGAUGCCAAAAUGGGGGACUGAUUGGCUGGAACGUGGCGGAGACGGCUGAGGUCAUUCCCCACCCUCGCGCCGCGUCUCUCGGGCCGCUGCAGUUGGCUGGGGGGCUUCUUGCGAAGCCUAUGGCUUCGAGGCCUCAAGACCCCCUAGCUGCUCUUUCUCUCCGGACCUCUUGCCCCCCCCCCCCCCGCCAACACUCCUAAAAUUCCUGAUUGGGACCGCGCUGGAAAAUCUCUUUGGGGGAAUUCCCUGAACUGGCUCAGCUGGGAAAAGGGGCUUCCUCAUGAACUGGUGCUUCAGGUUCUUAAACUCGGCUUACAGGAGCAGGUACCUAUUGUCUGCUGAAGCAGCGUCUGUCUGCCAAGAAGGUGAAUGGGAACCGGUGUGGGGCAGAGCCUACCAAGGCAGACAGACACCAGGAUACCCGUGACUCAUACAAGCCCGAAGAAAAGUCUGUCCAUCUGGUUUGCCCUCUUCUGCAGGGAGAACAAAGAUAGUGAGAUGAGAGAAGUGGAAACUUCUGGACAAGACAGUAAAAUAUUCACAACAGUCAUCUGAAGUUCUCAAAUACUAGACUAACAAGACAAAGCUGAUGAAAACUGAAAUUGCCACCUGAACUGAACUUCAGCAACUACCACCCUGAUCAGUAAAGACCCAUCAAUAGCAAGGGAAAAGAAUACAAUUUGUUGUUGAGCAUGGUGGUACAUGCUUGUAAUCCCAGCACUCAGGAAGCUGAGGCGGAAGCAGCAGUACAAACCUGAAGCCAGCCUGGGCUACACAGUGAGUUCAAGGCCAGCCUGAACUACAUAGUGAGACCUGCCUCCAAAAAUAAAUAAAUAAAUAAAUAAAAUUUAUUAAAAGCUCA